AAGUCGUAACAAGGUCUCCGUAGGUGAACCUGCGGAGGGAUCAUUACACAAAUAUGAAGGCGGGGCUGGAACCCCUCCGGGGUUAGCAGCCUUGCUGCAAUUAUUAUCAUCCCUUCGUCUUUCGUCGUACUUCUUGUUUCCUUGGUGGGGUUCGCCCACCACUAGGACAAACAUAAACCCUUUUGUAAUUGCAAUCAGCGUCAGUAACAAAUUAAUAAUUACAA
rnacentral:misc_RNA from 1 species